rnacentral:rRNA from 1 species
UACGAAGGGGGCUAGCGUUGCUCGGAAUCACUGGGCGUAAAGGGUGCGUAGGCGGGUCUUUAAGUCAGGGGUGAAAUCCUGGAGCUCAACUCCAGAACUGCCCUUGAUACUGAGGAUCUUGAGUUCGGGAGAGGUGAGUGGAACUGCGAGUGUAGAGGUGAAAUUCGUAGAUAUUCGCAAGAACACCAGUGGCGAAGGCGGCUCACUGGCCCGGUAUUGACGCUGAUGUGCGAAAGCGUGGGGAGCAAACAGG